rnacentral:rRNA from 1 species
CAUGCAGCCGAGCGGUAGAGAUCUUUCGGGAUCUUGAGAGCGGCGUACGGGUGCGGAACACGUGUGCAACCUGCCUUUAUCAGGGGGAUAGCCUUUCGAAAGGAAGAUUAAUACCCCAUAAUAUAUUGAGUGGCAUCACUUAAUAUUGAAAACUCCGGUGGAUAGAGAUGGGCACGCGCAAGAUUAGAUAGUUGGUGAGGUAACGGCUCACCAAGUCUGCGAUCUUUAGGGGGCCUGAGAGGGUGAUCCCCCACACUGGUACUGAGACACGGACCAGACUCCUACGGGAGGCAGCAGUGAGGAAUAUUGGACAAUGGGUGCGAGCCUGAUCCAGCCAUCCCGCGUGAAGGACGACGGCCCUAUGGGUUGUAAACUUCUUUUGUAUAGGGAUAAACCUACUCUCGUGAGAGUAGCUGAAGGUACUAUACGAAUAAGCACCGGCUAACUCCGUGCCAGCAGCCGCGGUAAUACGGAGGGUGCAAGCGUUAUCCGGAUUUAUUGGGUUUAAAGGGUCCGUAGCGGAUCUGUAAGUCAGUGGUGAAAUCUCACAGCUUAACUGUGAAACUGCCAUUGAUACUGCAGUCUUGAGUGUUGUUGAAGUAGCUGGAAUAAGUAGUGUAGCGUGAAAUGCAUAGAUAUUACUUAGAACACCAUUGCGAAGCAGUUACUAAGCAACAACUGACGCUGAUGACGAAAGCGUGGGGGAGCGAACAGAAUAGAUACCU